CUAUCAGGGGCUGCACUGCUGGCGGCAGUCAACAGAGUUGGCAUCCAAGGAAGGAGUGGUUCUCCUCUCCCUGACUCCACACUCCAGAGGGCGAACCACUCUUGGUCAUACUGGAGUGCGGCAGGGUACGCAGCGUUUGCAUGGGAAUCCUGAGCAUGGCAGAGCCCCCACACCCACCGUGGUUCCUGGGCCUGUGCACUCUGGGUCUGUGCCUCAGAGGCUGCCAGGCACCCCUGGGGACACCACGGGGAACAGGGCCCUGUGUGUGGAGGCAUCCGGAACAGGAAUUGGCACCUGGGUGCGGAGGGCUGGCUGGGUCUGAAUUUUUCUGCUUCUCCUGUUCCCCGAGGAGUGCAGCCCCGGUGGGCCCAGUGGUUCCUGUGGAGUGGGGAGCUGGGUGCUGUGGUGUCUCCAGCACCCACCCCAGACCCCAGUUCCCGGCCAGCUUGGGCCAAAAGGAGAGGCUGGACUUUGGAGGGUGGGUGUGAGUGCCUUUGCUGAAACUGGCCCCUGCCACCCAGUGGCCGGCACGACAACUUGAGGCUCUAACGCUUCCACUCCUCACAACUUCCUCUAGGCUUUUCUGGCUUUGCCCGCCCAGCUGCUCCAUGCCAGGAGGAGGAGGAGACACCUAGAGCCUGCAACACCACGGCUCACCUCGCUGCGGGUGGGUGGCAGUGACGGAGACUGCAGUGCGCCAGAGCGAUUUUCAAAGUGUCAUACCUUGAACCACCGCCAGAUGGCUAUGAGAAUGUUACAAAUACUGCGCCACCAUAUAAUGCUUUCUCAGCCCAAGGCAUGCCAGAGGUAAAAUAAAAUACAUUUGUAACCCAAGUCUUUAAAUGGUUCUUUUGCUAUAUAAAACCUGUAUAGAGGACUAAAACCAAGGAAAUUAGGUGAAUCAUUCAUGCGGAUUCAUUGUUUGAUAUUCAGUGCUAUGAAAACCUCAUCCCUCAAAUUUAA
rnacentral:lncRNA from 1 species